UUGGUGGUGCAUGAAUGAGAAACUACGUCCCAUGUUGCCUUUUCAAAUGCCUCGGCUCAGUUUUAGACUCUUCUCAUGAUGAGUUUUGGAUAUUGAAUGAGGUAAUCUAAAUUACCUCUCUAACAGUCCGGUGUUGUCUUCAAAUGCCUCGGCUUGGUUUUAGACUCUUCUAAUCAUGAGUCUCUAACUCAGAAACAGAUUGUUGGUGGUGCAUGGCUGAGAAAUGAUGUCCCGUAUCACUUAUACAAAUGCCUCGGCUCGGUUUUAGACUCUUCUAGCGAUGAGUCUUUAACUCAAAAACAGAUUUUUGGUGGUGCAUAAAUGAGAAACUACGUCCGGUGUUGCCUUCUCAAAUGCCUCGGUUCAGUUUUAGACUCUUCUCAUGAUGAGUUUUUGGAUACAAAAUGAGGUAAUCUAAAUUACCUCUUUAACAGUCCCAUGUUGCCUAUUCAAAUGCCUCGGCUCGGUUUUAGACUCUUCUAACGAUGAGUCUCUAACUCAGAAUCAGAUUGGUUGUGGUGCAUGGCUAAGAAAUUAUGUCAUGUGUUACUUAUACAAAUGCCUCGUCGCAGUUUUAGACUCUUCUAACGAUGAGUCUCUAACUCAGAAUCAGAUUGGUUGUGGUGCAUGGCUAAGAAAUUAUGUCCCGUGUUACUUAUACAAAUGCCUCGUUGCAGUUUUAGACUCUUCUAACGAUGAGUCUUUAACGCAGAAACAGAUUGUUGGUGGUGCAUAAAUGAGAAACUACAUCCCGUGUUGCCUUUUCAAAUGCCUCGGCUUAGUUUAAGAUUCUUCUCACGAUAAUGUCUGUUUCUAAUGAUUGUAUUUUAAAUUUGCAGGGUGGAAGAUAUUGAUUUGGACUUGGUCGAUUAGGUGCUCCAUGGUAAUAUGUGUUGUUCUUUUAAUAUAUGUUGUUCUGUUAUUUAGUAUAGUCAGUUGAUUAUCUUAUGUCGUUCUGCUCAUGAGUUAUAGAUUCAUAUGUAUGUCCAUUAAACAGGUAAAGCUUGAUGAAACUAGAAGAUUAAAUGUGACUUAUGUAAUGGAUCUUGGAGCAAGAAAAAGAUCAGCUCGUUUAUAUGCACUUAUGAGAAAAACACAAGUAAGAAUUCUUUUACGAUCUCUUAAUUUCCCUUUUUUCAGAUGUGUUUAGGAUCCAAGAUAGUCAUGGGAUGAUUAAAAUUGUUUUUUAUGUUUUGUGUAUUUUUUAUUCUCUGAGAAAUUGUCUCUUUUGUGCUUAUCUAUCAUCAUUCAGAGAUCUCACAGACUCUUAUUUCAG
rnacentral:lncRNA from 1 species